rnacentral:lncRNA from 1 species
UAGUCAGAAGUGGAUGAAUUUACAUGACAACCAACACCAGUGCAAUUGUGUUGGGGCUCGAUACCUACAAACUAGAAUUGUGAUGUGGAUGCAUGUUAUAUCACCAUGAUUGUUGACACUAAAGGGUUGAUUUUGAUGAUAUAAAAUAAUUAAAAGAAAAGAUAACCAAUCUAUUACCUUAAGUUUAAUUGAUUAAUUUCAAAAAGCAAAGAAGAAAGCCUUCAGUUACUCUCAAAUGAAGAUUAUCUAUCUGAAGCUCCACACUAAGAAGUAUAACUUCAAAAAGGUCAUGAAAAUAAUUCUUGGAAGUUCACAUAUAGAUAUAGAAAAUUUUAUCCUGAGCUACCUUAAAAGUCAACCCUAAGAUUGCAAUGAGUCGACCCUGGUACACCGUCGUUGACUGAAAACAUCUUCAUGACUUGACUCUAGUAGAU